UGGGAUGAGUCGAUACCCCUGCUUGAGGUGGAGCCUGGGAAGCUUGGUGCAGCUCGGGGACUGAUGGCCUAGCACCAGCAGAAGGUACAAAUCCUCCACGACCACCACCAGCUACGCCACCGCCACGGUGUUGGGGCAAUGGUCCACGUGGUUGCUGCUGUUGGGCACCCCUGCCUUGCUGCUGAUAAAGAGAUUCACCAGUAUACUGCUGAGAAGCCAUACCACCCCGCGGGCCACCGCGUCCACCUUCAUAUCCUCCACGUCCUUGGUAUCCUCCUCCCUGUUGUGGGGCAAAGCCUCUACCACCUGGACCCUGCUGCUGUGGGGCAAAGCCUCUACCUCCAAGAACCUGCUGCUGUUGGGGAAAGCCUCUACCUCCUGGUCCUUGCUGCUGUUGUGGAUAGACUUGAGGUGCACCUCGUCCUUGCUGCUGUGGAGGGUGUUGAGGUGCACCCUGUCCAGCAUUAGAAUCCUGAGGCUCCGAGCUCUCUCCCCCACCAGCCUGGUCAGUUCUCCUCUUUCUUACCAUGAUGGUCACUACAUCCAGUGAAUACAAAGAGCAACAUUGAUUAUUUGAACUUACAAACGUUAUGUUAUGUAACAAUACUCAAAGACCCAACUGCUAUUGACAGGCAACGACAAGCAAAACCUGAGAAACCAACCACAUAGAAUUUGGCAGAAUGUACAUUUAAGACAGUAAUCUAAAUAAAUCCUUAACAUCAUAAUUUCAAACUUAUAAAAACAGAAAGAACAGCCAUAUACGGGGGUACGGACAGUUAUUAAGACCCUCCUUAAAAUAUUAGUACACAAAAAACAACGGCAACAGAUACAUUUGUACAAUAAUAGAUAGAUAUAUGGGCAUUAAAACAAUAAACCAUGUAAGCCAUCAAAGUAAGGAAUUGGUUGUGCAUAUGCAAGUAAAUAACCUAACCUAAAUACUUCCCUUCAACUUUAUAAAAAAAAUAUAGAAAAAUGGUCAAAUCGCAUUGAAGAUGUAAAAAGAACAACAAAAUUAAAAUUUCAUAAUAUGAUUAAACAAACACCUCAAAUCAAUACAGAUCUAAGCAAAUAAACUGUAAAAAACAUACAAAUCAACUAGAUCUAACUAAAAGAAAUACAAUCGGUAAAAAUUAACGAGAUACAACCGAAAAACAAUGUAUAGUCUAUUUAAAAAAGGGGGCACAGGAGACCAGUAAUGGACAUCUCAUAAAAUGAUUACACCAAUACCUCAAAUCAAUACAGAUCUAAGCUAAUACGCUGUGAUAAACCUAAAAAUCAACUAGAUCAUCCAACUACGCAUAUACAAUUGGUAAAAAUUAAUGAGAGUAACCAAAAACAAUGUAAAAGCUAGUUAAAAAAGGGAGGAUGGGAUACCAGUAAAUGCACGUCAACCACUCUUUGAUGGAAAAAUACUAUAUCUACCAACCGCACUACAGAGCCGCACACCCGCUACCUACAAUCCUAUAUCUAUAUUAUACUAUUAAAGCCGGAACAAUUAAAGUUUUGAUUGGUUGGUUGGUCGGUCAGUAUUUGGGCCGGUUAUGGGCCUCUUUAUUUUAUAAAAUGUUUUAAUGAGUUUUUUUUAUUAUAACUAAAACACAUUUAAACAUUCGCUUAAAACAUAUCUCUCGGGCCUGUUUAUUUUUAAGUCUUUUAACGGGCCUAAGUAUCAAAAUUUAUUUAACAUGACCAAUAAAAAUACAUUAACCCAAAGAGGCCUAUUAAAAUUUAAUAAUCUUUUAGUUAAAAUAUGUAUAUUAUUACAACAUAAAUGUCUCUUCGAAAUAAAACAAAAUAUUAUAACAUACCCGUGCAUCGUACGGGCUAUAAGCUAAUAUAUAUGUGAAGUGUAUUACCAAACAACAGGUCUACUACUUUGUUUUAUUUAUCAGAUUAGAGGGUCGGAAAUGAACAUACUUGAUUAUGCCACCUCUCAUAGUCCCUCUUUUUGGAUCCUCCCAGCUCUUGUAAAGAUCCUGGAUAAGCUCUUGUCCAUGUGCUUGGGUACAAACCAAACCAGCAUACUUUGUUAGAUCUGGCCAAUCCUGGGAGGCAACAACCUGGAUUUCAUACAACAGAACUUGUAUCAAGAUUAUGAAACAAUAAUAGAUAAUAACAUUUUAAUAUUUAAAUAGAGGCGACAACACAUAUUGUCACGUGAAAACAUUGAACGAAGUGUGUAUAAGUAGCUCUUAAAAACUUCAUAUCAUACUGCUGCAAUUGAGUAGAUAGAACCUUCUCCAGGAUGAGGAUGGAUGACAUCAGCACCAAAGAUAAUCGUAGGACGUUCGCGAAAAAGAGAAUGUGGAUGUAGACCCUGCACCUGAGGGUGUGGAGGAUGCUGAAGAACAUUUUGUCUGGCACCAGAAUCCUGGUGCUCUGAGUUCUCUCCCUCACCCGGAAGUUCAGUUAACCUCCUUUCUGCCCUGAUGAUAACUGUGUCCAGUGAAUACAUAUGGCAAAAUUAAAUUAUAGGGAUUACAAAAUGAUAAUGACAACAGUAAGACAAAGCACUAUUAGAUACAGCCAUACAGGUGAUAGCCGGCAAUAAUAUGAGAAAACACACGUAACUUGACAGAGCUUCCAAUAAAGUCAGCAAGCUAAUUAAAUACACAAAAACUAAAUAUUCUCCCUGCACGAGUAAUCAACUCUCAUUCAUAUGUAAGACAAGCAUAAGGAGCUUGCAACUCUAAUACGUAAACUGAACACCCAAACACACACAAGUUGUAUACACAAAAAGAUAGUUUUAAUAAUCAAACAUGUAUACAAUCCCUUGCACCAAUUUUAACACUAGAAUGUUUAAAACUUAACAGCUUCAAGAAUUAAAACAAUAAAUAGCAAUAAAUCAAGAUCAAAAUCAGAAAAUAUGUUUUACAUGCACUAACUUGACUAUCAAAAAUCCCUAACAUCAUAAUUUCAAACUUAUAUAUACAGAAAGAACAGCCAUAUAUGGAGUAUGGACAUUUAUUAAGACCCUCCUUAAAAUAUUAGUACACAAAAAACAAUGGCAAAAGAUACAUAUGUACAAUAAUAGAUAGAUAUAUGAGUAUUAAUGUGAGCCAUCAAAGUAAAGAAUUGGUUGUGCAAGUAGAUAUCCUAAACUUAAUACUUCCCUUCAACUUUAUAAAAAAAAAUAUGAAAAAAAUGGCCAAAUCGCAUUGAAGAGUAAAAAGAACAACAAAUUUAAAUUUUUAUAUAAUAAUUAAACGAAAACCUCAAAUCAAUACAGCUCUGAGCAAAUACACUAUAAAAAACAUACAAAUCAACUAGAUCUAGCUAAAAGAAAUACAAUCGGUAAAAAUUAACAAGAUACAACCGAAAACAAUGUAAAAUUUAUUUUAAAAAGGGAGCAUAACAGACCAGUAAUGUAAAUCUCAUAAAAUGAUUAAACUAAUACCUCAAAUCAAUACAGAUCUAAGCAAAUAAGCUGUGAUAAACCAAAAAAUCAACUAGCUCAUCCAACUAGACAUAUACAAUGGGUAAAAAUUAAUGAGAGUAACCGAAAACAACGUAAAAGCUGGUUAAAAAUUGGAGGAUGGGAAACCAGUAAAUGCACGUCGACCACUCGUUGAUGGAAAAAUACUAUAUCUACCAACCGCACUACAGAGCCGUACACCCGCCUAGUUAUUUUAUAACAUGUUUUAAUGUGUUUUUUAAUCAUAACUAAAACACAUUUAAACAUUCGUCUUAAAACAUAUCUCUCGGGCCUAUUUAUUUUUAAGUCUUUGAACGGGCCUAAUUAUCAAAAAUUAUUUAACAUGCCCAAUAAAAAUUCAUUAACCCGAAGAGGCCUAUUAUAAUUUAAUAAUCUUUUAGUUAAAAUAUGUAUAUUAUUCCAUAUAAAUGUAUCUUCAAAACAAAAUAAAAUAUUAUAACAUAUAUAACAAAAGAGAAAAUAAUUCAAGUCACCCGUGCAUCGUACGGGCUAUAAGCUAAUAUCUACGUGAAGUUGUAUUAUAUGUAGUACUAAUUAAAUUGUAGAGCCUCUAGAAUUAUCAACCACCAAAAUGGCUUGUUUGGGAACCUGGAUUUCAUUUGAUAUUUUGGAUUUGAUCAAAUAACCUGUUUGAGAAUUUGAAUUUGGAUUUCAUUUCACAUUCAAAUAUUAGUAUAAAUUUGAGAAAUUGAAAUUACAACUCAAAUCAUGUCAUUUGAAAUCCAUCGUUUCAAAUGAAAUGCAUGUUUCCAAACGGCCCCUAAGAUUAAUUAGAAAUGAGUGGCUUAGAUAUUAAAUAACUGAACGGCAAACUAGUAUAUAUUACUACAGUGGGACUGCUUGUGAUUAAAGUGAUGUUACAUGACAAAGUAGUUGGUUAAGUCUUGAUUUCGAGUAUAGCUUUGUGUAUUGCAAUUAAGCUUAUCAGAAUAGGUUGUCAGAAUAUGAUGAUGAUGGAUACUAGGCAGUAGAACGUAGUGUAUUUGUUUUGAGUAUAAUGAUAUUUGUGGGACUAGUUGUAGUAGAGAAUGUAAAGGACAAUGUCCCUAUGAAUGUAGCAAUACAGAAUCUUUGUAUACAACUCUAAGCACAUGGUACAGCACUAAAUUAGUCACAUGGCUAUGCUCAAAACUGGUACUUCAUUUUACAUAUGAAAUCAGUUGAUAUGGCAACUUAAAGCAUGCAACAGUUUUCAAAUAUUAGUGUACUACACACUAGAACAUAGAUUUAUCUAAAACAUUAGUGCCCAAUGGAAGGAUAGCCUACUAAAAGACUAGAAUUUGAACUGUCUAUAUUAAAAGAAACCACAGAGUUUGAAACAUGUCAUGAGCUUAUUAACACCAAAAACACAAAUCCACAGACGAAAGCGCUCAGGACUUCUGCAAAAUCUUAGCCACUAUAUAUUUGAUAUUAAAAAAGUGGUAUGGUACCAUACCUUCCCACGCAUCCCCUCCACGUCCACCUUAAACACAAAAGAACAAAGCCUAUUUGCUACUUUGUCCAUCACCAAAUUCACUGCAAAUAUAGAUAAUAGCAAGCUUAAUAGCAAAGGCACUUAGAAUGUAUCCAAUCACAAACAUGGCCAUUGUAAAUAUUCCGAUUCAGACCUUUUAUGGGUUUCCCAAAAUUUAUAGAAGCAAUUUCUCCCACCAUCAUGAGAAGUCCGAAAUGGAAGUACUGUGAGGAAAUAAAAAAAAAACAUCAACACAUUCUUCAUUUGAGUUAAUUGGCAUUGCUUCAACUAUAAAAAGCGCUAGUAUGGGUGUAACUAUUCCAUUUUCUACCAAUAUAGGAAUAAUUUUUCUUUUUACCUCCUACUCAUUCUUUCACAAAAUUGAUCAUAAAAAUGGGGCACUCUAUCAUUGUUUUCACACUCUUCUAUUUCCAUCCACAGAAUUUUCCCCUUUCCAUUUUAUUCCUUCCAAUAAUAAAACGCAUUAUAGUUAUCAUCUAUAUACUAUUUAUGAUCACAAAUUCAAAGUAGAACUUGAUCCUAAGGAUAAAACAAAUAAUAUUCAUUUUUACAUUGCAGUGGUAUCUCUUAUGAACUCGGUACUAUCUGACUGAAAGUUUGCACACUAUCUCAUUUUUCACUCGUAUCAAUUUUCUUCGAUUUCAUUCACUUCCAAUUAAUUCAAAUUCACAUAUAGUCCAUAAUAUUCAGGCAUACAAAAUAGAAAACGUUCAAAUAUUGGCUGCACUGUGAAAAUAAUUCCAUAUUAUGAUAUUAUCCUGCGAAAUCAAACAUACAACACACGCACAUUUAUAGAGAGAGGGGGGGGGAGGGAGGAAAAGAGAGAGGGGAGGAGAGGGAGAGNNNNNNNNNNNNNNNNNNNNNNNNNNNNNNNNNNNNNNNNNNNNNNNNGAGAGAGAGAGAGAGAGAGAGAGAGAGAGAGGGAGGGAGGGAGGGGGAGAGUACAAACUAAUCUCGAAAGUCGAAAUGGAUGAUAAUUUGCAUCGAAAUCGAGUUGUUGAAAUAACGUUGCUACCGCCAUUUUUCCUGAUCGAGCUUGUUGUAGACUUGUAAUGUUGUGCACUUGUGCGGGUAAUAUCCAGUCGAGUCAGGGUUUGGCUUUUGAUAAAAUGCCCAGAUAUUUCCAUCUUCGAAUAUUUUCGUAAUGUAUUUAAAAGAUUAAAAUCUCGAGUAUACUCAGGUAUAUAUAUAAAUCAAUCAGAACAUUUGGCUUGAAAUUUUUAUUUUCAUAUUCAGGUCUUGUUAUCGUAUGACGGUAUGAGUAAAAAUAUCCAGAUUUAUUCAUUUUUUAAAUAAUUUUAAAAUCAACAUUUUUUUUAAUAUAUGAAUAUUUUAAAUUUGGAUCAGCUACACUUAUAUAUAAAAGAUCCAGAUUUGAAUUCUAAUUCUGGCAGCUAUUAAAAUGUACAAAGUUCAGUUAAAAUUAUCUAGGUGCACUCCAGACACCAAACGCAAUAUAUAUAUCCCAUGCUAACUAUAUAAUCAUUUGCAUGUUUUUUUUUUUUUUUUUUGAACCCAUAAUCAUUUGCAUGUUAAUAAUUAAUUGGUAAUUGUAUUUCAUUUUAUCUUAGCCUUUUUGUCAAUCUAAUCUUCCACUUUCCACAUUUACUAAAAACACUCAUGUACAAGCUCCUUGCACCAGAAAACUAAACAAAUAUCUUAAAUUAAACAAACUAGUAGAAAAAGAUAUAUUCUAAUCAACUCUUCACCGAACUCAUAUUUGUUUAAUAAUUCGAAUUCGAGCGGCAAUAACUCUCUUCUAAGUAAUGCAGAUCAAAGGAGUUAAGAGAUUCAAAAACAUCAAAAGUAAAGUUCAAAGCAACAGCAUAAAGAGCUACUAUCACACGUUUUCCGGUUCUCAAACAUUUCUAGCAAUAAAACAUAACCCUCUUCACAUUUUCUUUAAGAGCGGGCAAGGGCCUCACAGCUGCAUUAGCAUUUGCUGCCCUGGUGCUUCUUCCAACCCCCAUUCCUCCACGACCACCAGCAGCACCACUUGCCAUUGACUCACUAUCAGAUGUUUCAGGUUCCAUAUAGAAGCGAGCUCGAAAUGCUGCCAAGUGAGCAUAAUAUGCUGGAGGAACUGUAAAAAAAAACAUGACUCGUUAAAGCAAGUCGAGUAAAAUGACAACAAUCAGAUAAAAAUUCUGAAAUAGAACCAGUAAACAUCGCUACUCACCUAUUGAGACAGAUCUUGUGCACCUGGCAUAACUGCAAGACACACAAUGAAGCCAGUAAAAUGCAGUAACUUUACAUAUUAAUUUUAAUAUGUUAUUCAUGAGCAAACAAUAAUAAAGGUGAACUUACGUGUAACAUAGAUUGUUAGUGAGGGACUGUAGUCCAUCUGCCGAGAACUUGUUCUCAUCCCAAAGAACAUGGUAAUGUGCUGGUCGGCUAGUUCCCUGUGGCAUAAAGGAAUAAUUAGAUCAGACAAUUGCCCUUGAGUCCCACUCAUUUUGUCCAUAAACCACUUAAAAAUCAACAUGAAUCGUUUACUUGGAUGCCAGCAUGGCUGCAAAGGUAAAAGUCAAACUCCGUUGGGUGACAGAUUUUGGAAUCCACAACAGUCCCUGUUAUUUCACAAGCAGAGAAACACUCUUAAUACUGAUACAGUGUGUAUAACAAUAUAGAUCAAGAUGAAAGGAAAAACAAAGGAAUACCGGGCAAAAUAUUUCCACUCCUAUCAACUGAAUUACGGUCGCGAUGAUUGUUGGCAAACAACCUAGUGUGAUGGCGUUUCUGAACCACAACAAAUGUAACCGGAGGCUGAUAGUUUGGCUCUAAUGAAGCACAAGCCUGUUUUAUAAGUUCAAGCCAUGAAAAAUGCAACAGAUGUAUUAGGUUGGACAUCAUGAGUCGCACAUUUAAACAAAAAAAAAAAGAAGUACAGAUAAUAGUACAAUUAAAUUAGAGGGCCAAAAUUUUAGAGAAACAAAAAUAACACCUUGCGAAUUGCAUCAAGUUCAUACAGAAGAACUUGAUAGAACUGCCCCUCACUAACACCAUCCCUGCAGUUUGCUAAUCAUUAGGAUACGACAAUUACAAGUACCAUACAAGCUCACUAUAAUACUGAGAAUUAAUAGAUACCUAUAGAAUAUAAUGCGCUGGGGUUUCUGUCCAGUUGAUCUGCGGAAUGAAAUAAGGAGUUCCCUAUAGCACAGAAACAAAACUGAUACUGUAAAGAGCUUGAUUUAAAAAUUACCAUAAACAUUACACAUAGGUCUAUUAUCAUUUAUUAUUCAGUCAGAUAAGAGGUUGGGAGAGGAACAUACUUGAUCAUGCCGCCUGAUACAGUUCCUCUGUUUGGAUCCUGCCAGCUCUUGUACAGAUCCUGAAUAAGCUCUUGUCUGUGGGCUUGAGCACAAACCAAUCCCGCAUACUUUGUUAUCUCUGGCCAAUCUUGUGAAGCAACCACCUGAAUUUUAUAUAACAAAUCUCAUAUCAACUUUAUGCAACAAUAGAUGAUAAGACAUUAAAAAUAAACACAUAAUCCUGUCAAAUACAGGCAAAUCAUAUCAACACAUGCAAACAUAAACUAAAGUACGUAUAAGCAUUUCUAUAAAAUUUUAUAUCAUACUGCUGCAAUCGAGGGGCUGGAAUCUUCUCCAGGAUGAGGAUGGGUGACGUCAGCACCAAAAAUGAUUGUAGGGCGGUCACUGACAAGUGGAAUACGCCUCGAUAAAGCAUCAACAAGAACUGUAUUUCUUCCCCCGACUUUGACGUUAAUCUUUAAAGCCACAUUUGCCAGGUAUUGCUUGCUCAUCUUGAAGACAUGUUUUGUCAAGCAACACUGUGAAACUAUUCCAAGGUCAGUCUCACAGAUUCUCUUCAAAUCGCCUUCACAAGUCAAAAACAGCAAUCAGUGAGACAGAUGCCAUUACACAGAAGUGUGAAUGCAAGCAAAACCACGGACAGACAAUCAUGUAGACAUUCAAUAAAAGCAAAGGACCAUUACAAAUAUCAGAAUCAGAAUAUUGCAAAUGGUUUACAUACCAUAUAGUGAGCCAUUAUUAUCUGGAAGGAUAACAAUUAACAGGUCAAGCUCCUUCUUCAGUUUCUGCACCUCUUGAAAACGUGAUUUUAACACUCUCUCCACCUGAUCAGUGCGCGCGCCGGUAACUGGAAGCACCGGAUUGGGAUUGAACCGCUACACACAGGAAAUAUAGUUCAGUUUUAGUUCAUAUACUUGACAAUAUGUAGAGAACAUCAAAACAAACAGAGGUCUUGGGUAUAUACCAUUCCCGAUAUAGUGCACAUCUGUGCGAGUUCUGAACAAAAGCCGCUAGCCAAAUUGUCUUGAACAUUUCGUGCAAAGUUCACACACAUCCAAUUAUUAACAAUUCCUCCAUCAACCAUUUUCUGAAACAAACAUUAACAAAUUAGAACAAAGUGGUAAACGGUUUCUUCAGCAUUUGUAGUACUGUUUCAUACAGGAUUACAAAUGCAAUGCCCUGACUUUAAAGGAACCAAUUCAAGCAAUAUUGUCAAUCACAUUUCUAUUCUUCAAGAAAAAAGGAUAACAAUUACGAUCACAGAAUGUCAAUAUAGUUGCAGUCUAUGUGCCUGCCUGCACUACCAUAUUAAGAAUACAAAACUUGCCUUGUUCAUCAUAUUCCACUGACCAACUUGGGGUAGACAUCGUGUCUCACGUCCAGUCUCAUGGUAUUUUAGCUGGCACAAUAAUCACGACUCAUUCACUAAAACAAACUAAAGAAUUUGGCUUUUGGUAUAUGACUACAAAAAACUAAAUUAAGAUAUAAAUCAAGUGAAUACCCAUGGUGGAGAGAGAAUUCUUGCUUCUACAGAGGCUAGUUUGUCACUAAUUUUGAUUCCAAACUCCUUAGCAUAGGGAUCAUCAGCGUAUGCAUUAUGCUGAACGGUCUGAAAAACAGGCACAGUAGAGAGUAAACCAUGAGUGCUGACUUGUAUUAUUAAGUUUUUAAAAACUAAAGACCUGACUGACCCACAUACAUUAGUAGACCAAGUUAGAAUCAAGUCACAUGCAUAUACAAGAAAUAGAACAUUACAAGUCAACUCAUAAGCACAAAUCAAAUGAACAUCCAGCGACAAAGUACAAGACAGCUCCCAAACAACAAAAUAAUACAUUAGUGCAAAAUACAGAAUUAACUAACUCGAAGAAUGUCAGCCUCCCUGUCACUAGGACGUUGGCAAGUAACUUUAAGCAACGCAGUGAUCUGCCUUUCAUUCAACCUUUUUGAGUACCUCUGCCCCUCCACAAUUUUGCAAACCUGGACCAAUAAUUACAUGAGUACACCUGUAGCUUGAAAACAUUAGAAGUAGAGAGCUAAAAGCACAAACCUCCAUGGGCAGAUAAUUUGGCCUCUGCUGGUUACCAACUUGCAAGCAAGGUAAUUGAGUUUGCUUUAGGAUAACAUCAUAAGUCUCGCGGAAAUACUCAACCACGGCCUUCAUUGUACCUCUUUCAUCAACUGGAAACCUAAAAUGUAGGAAAAACAGUACCAUGUCAUCCAAGGCAAACAUAACACUGGUGAAUACUACCAGAGAGAGAAAAUGCAAGCAACUCAUACGUGAGCUCCCUGGUCGCCUGUGAUGUUAAACCAGAAAUACGAUACUUCCUGCGCAUUGUUCCACGGUGCAAAACCUCAACCUUCACUCCCCUCAAGGCCUUUUUGAUCUGGCAUGCAAAGGGAAGAAUUAAAAUUGAUACACCAUCAGCACAAUGUGAACAGAAGAAGGCUGAACAUUACAUAGAGCAAUCCAAAAAAUAGAUAAGACGCACUAACAGGAGAUACUUUCGGAGGAAUAUAUUUCGGCCCAAGGGGGAAACAUAAUUCAUAAAGACACACAGAGAAAAAAAAUAUACUUCGAUGCUUGUUUAUAUUGUAUAUCCAAUCUAAGCUGCAGCACAACACAAGAUAAUGCAAGAUUCACAUCACACCAUAUCAAGGAACAGUCUCCUUUUUGCUCAUAAAAUGGAAGAUUAUCAAACUUCAAAACACCUAUAUACGCCACACCUCCCGAGGUUUUGCUAUACAGCACUCAAUACAUUGUGAAAAAACAAUGAUAAUACAUAAAAACACCAAUGACAGCCUAUGUAGGAUCUACCAGUAAUGUACUGUAUAUGUUAAUUAGAAUACAUAAUAGUGAUUAGGAUCCAAAUAAUAAAGUUUUAUCUAGCAAGUAGUAGGCAGAAUACUGAAAUUAGACCUUCACACGAUCAGCAUCUGACAGUGGCCUGGACGAAACGUCCCUAUUCAACAGCUGUGAAGCAAACUCGAUAACAGGUAGAGGCUCAAUAAAUGCAGUCGAGGACAUAUCUGUAUCAUGAAAGUCAGCUUUCAUUGUCAAUACAAAAGAACAAUAUGGAAAAAGAAUUCACAGAUGAUAAUGUGAUUUAUGAUACCAUCAAAAAAACAGAACUAAAAUAAACGAAAGAAAACCCAUACCAAUAUUGAGUGACAAGCCCAUCUGUGUAGGGCGUAUACUUUGAUAAAAGCCUCUCCAGCUUUCCAAGCCUUCACCCAGUGGCUGCCUUCGUCCAAUAUCAGGUGAAUAAAAUGAACGCCCCACAGGGGAAUACCUAUCAUAUAAAAGCCAAAUAAUUAUUUCAAAUUGCUGUACAUUGUAUCUAUACACAUACAUACAAAUACAUCAAUAAUCCUACAUAAAGACAGAUGAAUAAUGAUGUGAAUAUUUAUAUAGUCUUUACCUGGCAGUAGGCAAUUCCCUCAAAACAAUGUCCAACACCUGCAAAGCUUCUUGAGGUGCGUCAGCCUGACUGCCCUUUAAAAACAUUUCUAGGUGGUGAAGGUCAGCUCGAGAAGCUAGUUUGAUAACAACUUUGAAGUCCCUUUCUCUUCUGCAUAUAAGACAGCCAGUAUUCAAUUGUUAAAUUAACACUUACUUGAAAACUCAAGAACCUAAGAUUAAUGCAAGGAGGCAAUCCAGAAUAUACCUGGCACCACCAGAUCCAUCAUCCUCAUCGGUCAGGACAAUUUUAAACUCCUUGUUGACAAAAGGAAGAGGCCCUGCUGUAUACAAACUCUUUCUACCAUCAUACGCAGGGAGACGCUUCCCAAGAUGAGAUUCUCUAUACAGUUUGACAAGCUGUUCCAUCACAGCACGAUUGACACCACGAGAACUGACUUCAGGGGAGAUUGUUACCUAAAUAUGAAGACCGAAUCUAUUGGAUGAGAAGAUUGCACUACAACAACAAUAUAAUAUAUGUAUACACACACACACACACACACACACACGCAAAUAAUGCAAAUGAACGUCAGUUCCUGUGAGAAGUUAAUAUUCCGGACAGGAGGAAUUUAAGAAAAAAUUCCAGGUAGCAAAUGAUGCAAGCACCUAAUUCAGAGGUUUCAUUUAACAUUAAAGACAACAACAGAAUAAGACAUAUACUUAGUAUAUAACAAAACAAGAGUACAUUCAAUCACACUCACAUCAUACUGAUGCAAAUCCUUAUCAGGCAACUCUGCAAAGAAAUGGUUGGCCUUUACAACGAUACGAGAACCAGUGCUGCCCCUGCCCGGACGGAGUGGAAAUCUAAGUGCCUUGCUAGAAACAGGAUUAGGCUGAGCAGCCUCGAUAGAAGAGGAUUCAGAUUUCAGAGAAAUAUGCUGAAGCUGCUGUGUCACUUGCGAAGAUGAUGCUUCAACUGCACUAACAGAAGAGCUACCUUCUGACUGUGUCACUUCAGCCGUUAUAGCACGAGGCAUGGGAUAAGUCGAUACCCCUGCUUGAGGUGGAGCCUGGGAAGCUUGGUGCAGCUCGGGGACUGAUGGCCUAGCACCAGCAGAAGGUACAAAUCCUCCACGACCACCACCAGCUACGCCACCGCCACGGUGUUGGGGCAAUGGUCCACGUGGUUGCUGCUGUUGGGCACCCCUGCCUUGCUGCUGAUAAGGAGAUUCACCAGUAUACUGCUGAGAAGCCAUACCACCUCGCGGGCCACCGCGUCCACCUUCAUAUCCUCCACGUCCUUGGUAUCCUCCCUGUUGUGGGGCAAAGCCUCUACCACCUGGACCCUGCUGCUGUGGGGCGAAGCCUCUACCUCCAGGAACCUGCUGCUGUUGGGGAAAGCCUCUACCUCCCGGUCCUUGCUGCUGUUGUGGAUAGACUUGAGGUGCACCUCGUCCUUGCUGCUGUGGAGGGCGUUGAGGUGCACCCUGUCCAGCAUUAGAAUCCUGAGGCUCCGAGCUCUCUCCCCCACCAGCCUGGUCAGUUCUCCUCUUUCUUACCAUGAUGGUAACUACAUCCAGUGAACACAAAUAGCAACAAGAGAUUAUUGAAAUUACAAAUGUUAUGUUAUGUAACAAUAGUCAAAGACUAAUCAACUGCUAUUGACAGGCAAUUAGAAGGAAAAGCUGAGAAACCAACCACAUAGAAUUCGGCAGAAUGUACAUUAAAGACAGCAAUCUAAUUAAAUACAGAAACAUCAACAUAGAAUUCGGCAGAAUGUACAAUAAAUACAGCAAUCUAAAUAAAUACAGAAACAUCAACAUAGAAUUCGACAGAAUAUACAUUAAAGACAACAAUCUAAAUAAAUACAGAAACAUCAAAACCAAAUCAAACACCAAAUUCAAAAAUAAUAUUCAGAAGUCCAAAAACAUCAAUUUCAAACCAAAACAUAUGAAAAAUCAACAGCUUCAGCAGUUUUAUAAACAGUGCACAUAUAAGCAACAACCCAACUACCACAAACCCACUAACAUCAC
rnacentral:lncRNA from 1 species